CUGAAAAAUACCUCCAGCAGAGUUCCUAUAGGCAAGUCUUAAGGAUUUUCUUGAUUGGUAGUUGGUGGGGCCAGCCCACUGUGGGAAGUGCCAUUCCCUGGGAAGGAGGUUCUGAGUUGUAUAAGGACAUGGCUUGACCAAGUCCUGAGGAGCAAGCCAGUACACAGCAUUCCUCCGUGGCCUCUGCACUGGCUCCUGCCUUUCCUCCCCUUCAUGGUGGACUAAGAACUGCCACCAUGGUCAUCGGGCCCCAUCUUGGGACUGUCUGGAAAAGGUCACCUUGGCCACCAGACCCGUGGGGUGCCAAGGUGGCGGCAGGGCAGCAGAAGUGGAAAGAGACCACAGAGUGUUUUCCUGGAGCUGGGAAGACAGCGCAGAUGCAGAGAUGCUUGUCACAGAGUGUGAGGACCUGAGUUCUACCCUCAACAGCCAUGUAUGACCCAGGGCAAGCCGUGUCACCACCCCCGAAUGAGCGGUGCCGCCAACUCCCUGAAGUUCCCUGUUUGACCAAGUUCAAUGAAGCAGGCUGGACUAUUUGAUCCCAACUUAGAGUAAGAUGCCCAUUCUUGCCUGCACCCCCCCCCCCCCAUCCAUCGUACUAUUAAAGACAGCUUCCUCUGCACCACUGCCCGGCAGAGCUGCAAUGGUUCUGUUCCAUGCUCGAGGCGAAUCACAGGGAAAGGAUGCAUUGUGGUAGUUACAUUUCACUGAAGUACCUGCUGCAAGGAAGGCUGAGAUUUAGAGAUACUUCAAGCCAGCAUUAGCCACAGAGGAGCAGGCCUAUUACCCGGGCUCUGUUCUUGCCGCCAUAGAUAACACUGUGUCAGUGCUCCUGUUAUAAACCUGUUUCCAGGGGUUUACAACUGGCCUGUAAAAAUGCAGCCCACGUUGAAUCAAAGCCCAUAAAGGCCUGACCCAGGAAUCUCAUUUUGCAUAUUUUUAUAUAAUCAUCUAUACCCAUAGUUACUGUCGUAAUGGAUGUGUACAUGGCCUCACAGAGGGGCAGAGGCUCUCAAAUUUGCAAUAAACAUGGACAAAUA